ACAAGAUGAGGAACAUUAUUUUGUUGAUUCUGACGCUACAUUGGGAUCGAGGUAACAGUGAUGUUUCUCAAGUUCCAAGUGUUUUAAUGGCAGUAAAAGGAAGUUCUGUUCAACUGAACUGCACACAUAAAAAGGAUUCAACGUUCAACCAGAUGUACUGGUAUCGACAGCGCCCAGGACAAACUAUGACUCUAAUCGUGUUCACAAGCACUUACGACAAUCCUGACUAUGGUGAUUCUGAUAAACACAAAUUUCCAGUCAUUAAAACUGUUGCAGAGAGUGGAUCUCUGACUGUGAACAAUGUGGAGUCAGAUGAUAGUGCCGUCUACUUCUGCUCAGUCAGUAAACACACAGUGCAGUGA